rnacentral:rRNA from 1 species
AGAGUUUGAUCCUGGCUCAGGACGAACGCUGGCGGCGUGCUUAACACAUGCAAGUCGAACGGUGAACCGCUUUCGGGUGGGGAUCAGUGGCGAACGGGUGAGUAACACGUGAGUAACCUGCCCUUCACUCUGGGAUAACUCCGGGAAACCGGGGCUAAUACUGGAUACGACCUACUCGGGCAUCCGAUGUGGGUGGAAAGAUUUAUCGGUGAGGGAUGGACUCGCGGCCUAUCAGCUUGUUGGUGAGGUAAUGGCUCACCAAGGCGACGACGGGUAGCCGGCCUGAGAGGGCGAUCGGCCACACUGGGACUGAGACACGGCCCAGACUCCUACGGGAGGCAGCAGUGGGGAAUAUUGCACAAUGGGCGAAAGCCUGAUGCAGCGACGCCGCGUGAGGGAUGAAGGCCUUCGGGUUGUAAACCUCUUUCAGCAGGGAAGAAGCGAAAGUGACGGUACCUGCAGAAGAAGCACCGGCUAACUACGUACCAGCAGCCGCGGUAAUACGUAGGGUGCAAGCGUUGUCCGGAAUUAUUGGGCGUAAAGAGCUUGUAGGCGGUUUGUCGCGUCUGCUGUGAAAUUUCGGGGCUCAACCCCGAACUUGCAGUGGGUACGGGCAGACUAGAGUGUGGUAGGGGAGACUGGAAUUCCUGGUGUAGCGGUGAAAUGCGCAGAUAUCAGGAGGAACACCGAUGGCGAACGCAGGUCUCUGGGCCAUAACUGACGCUGAGAAGCGAAAGCAUGGGGAGCGAACAGGAUUAGAUACCCUGGUAGUCC